GGAUGUGAGGGAGAUCUGGCUGUGACAUCUGUCACCCUAUUGAUUGCCAGGGUUGAUUUAGCUAAUCUCUCUGCCUAGGUAGGUGUCCCCUUCCUUCCACACUGUCCCUGCUGUUGUGGACCUAUCACACUGGUCAAGAAAAUGACUUUCCCCUAUAAAGGAGGACUAUGAGUAUGGAGUAACUGUGCUCCCUGCUAGAACCUCUAAGCAAAUUCUCAAGAAUACGAAGGCCAGGUGUGAUCCUCAGUAGGUGUUGCUAUUCUCUUCACUAUGGAUGAAGCAAAUGAGGCAAGGCAGCAUGCCUGACCAG
ensembl:misc_RNA 7SK 7SK RNA